rnacentral:rRNA from 1 species
GAUGAACGCUAGCGGGAGGCCUAACACAUGCAAGCCGAGCGGUAUUGUUUCUUCGGAAAUGAGAGAGCGGCGUACGGGUGCGGAACACGUGUGCAACCUGCCUUUAUCUGGGGGAUAGCCUUUCGAAAGGAAGAUUAAUACUCCAUAACAUAUUGAACGGCAUCGUUUGAUAUUGAAAGCUCCGGCGGAUAGAGAUGGGCGCGCGCGAGAUUAGCUAGUUGGUGAGGUAACGGCUCACCAAGGCGAUGAUCUUUAGGGGGCCUUGGAGGGUGAUCCCCCACACUGGUACUGAGACACGGACCAGACGCCUACGGGAGGCAGCAGUGAGGAAUAUUGGUCAAUGGGUGCAAGCCUGAACCAGCCAUCCCGCGUGAAGGACGACUGCCCUAUGGGUUGUAAACUUCUUUUGUAUAGGGAUAAACCUACCCUCGUGAGGGUAGCUGAAGGUACUAUACGAAUAAGCACCGGCUAACUCCGUGCCAGCAGCCGCGGUAAAAC